rnacentral:lncRNA from 1 species
AUGCAAUGUGCUCCUUGCCUUGGAUUUCACACCCUCAGUCUGUUAUAAGAUGUGGUUCCUGUCAUGUGUGAGGCUUUCCUAUCUUAGGAUGGCUCCCACCCACCCCUGCAGCCUUGCCUGUUACAACCAAGGACAUUCCUAUGAGAUGAAAGGGUUGAGAAGCAAUACCUAGAGUAUUGUAAUACUCUAGGUAUCCUGAUGAUCUAUCAUCCUGAUGAAGAUGAGUUUAAUGCCGUCAGGCUGACAAGCUAUGUUUCAUGUCCUAUAUCCUGCUACAAAGAUCCGUCCGUCCGUAUCCCAUCUCAGGCUGAGAGAUGCUGAUGUGAGGCCCAGAGGGUGGUGCCUGAGAGAGAAACCGGCGGUUGCAUAAACCGAGGCCACUUCAGGUUAAAGGGGAGCGAGUUCUGUCUAUCCAAACGAACACGGUGAGAACUGAAGGGAUAAAUGUACCACCCGAAGGAUUCUCCUGGGACCCUCCCCAAGGACCUGGAUUCCUUAAAGAUCCCGCCACAGCAGGAGCACUCAGAGUACGCCUUCCCCAAGCAAAGAGUCUAAAGGUCUGGGAGAUCCCCUCCCUCCCUCGUCAUGGACAAGACCCAUUCUCAGUGCUCUGCCCCACCUAACUCCAGGGCCCCACGGAAGAAACGAGAGAGGAAUCUAGAGGUGGAAAAGAGGGACGUCAUUUGUCCCUGAACAGAAUAACCUGAGACCGCCGGUACCAUGGCUGUGGACGUGUGGGGUCGUGGGAAUCCCUAGCGCUGGUCGCGCUCCUGAGUCCGCUUCCAAACCUCAUUCACGACCCGGAAAGGAUGCAUGCAUAUAUAUGUGUGUGUGUGUGUGUGUGUGUGUGUGUGUG